ACUUGUACCGGACUUGUGGCAUCAGCAAAAUUACACAUUUCUGCGCAAUUUUGUUGUUCCAGGCCGUAGUGCUUUGCCGUGAAAACGUGGGUGCAAGCAACUUUUUUGUGUAAUGGGGUCUGUAUCAAUAGACUAUACCAACCCAUGCCGCAUGCAUAUGCAUGAGCCAAGUGCAGCUUUAGCUGCGCGCGCAAUUUUAUAUUAUGCAAUGCCAUGUGAUAGCUUGCUGGAUUUUUGUGAAGGAGCUGGAUGGAGUGGAAAUCAUAUUUUUCCAAUUAGCCUUUGCAAUUAGAGGUGUGUUGGUGUUUAGCUCCAUGGCAGGACUAGGUGCUCACCAUUUGGGUCUACUCAAGGUCCUUUGUGAAUCUUUCACAGAGUAUUACGUGUAAUAAAGCUGAAGAUGGCUAUAUGAGGCAAUCAGAAACAGACUGAAUCAGUCCCCACCUCUACCUCAACAAGUUGGCAAGACGAGUGUACAGAAAUACCUUACAUUCUACAUGGCAAUAGCUCUGGAAAUACGAGGUACCUUUGGUAAAUCAGAUGAUCAAAUACCAUGUAGUAGUGGAGGUAUUCCAAGAGAGCAGUGGACAGUCCAUUGAGGGAUUAGUUGUCAUGCAAGGUGAAAGAUAAGCAGAUAGAAGGAAAGGAUAAUCUGGAUUAGGUCUCUGGAUCUAACAAUGACAUUACUCAGGGGAGCAUUUAGUGAAAGGACUUGUCAGACUUAUUAUCUGACUGUUUUUAUCCAACUGUUACCAUAGUAACAGUGCUUCUCGGCCAAUCAGAAUGAAGAAAAGAUGUCAGAUCUGACAGCUCGUCAGACCAAAAUAUUGAUGAAAUCGUCCCCUGAUCAUCAAGGAGUGAAGAAGUUUUAUAGUCACUUUGUAUUCCUCAUAAUUCUCUUAAAUCUGAUGAAGCAAGUUUUUCAUCCACAUACAAGAUGACGAUGUGUCUGAUGACAUGGGCUUGGAGUGUAAAAGUCCUCUGAAAAAAGUCUUUUGCUAGGUUUCCAAGAUGGGGAACAAUGGUCCAAUGUUGAGUCAGACAAUGUAAUUGAUGUUGAAGACUUUUUAUAGGUAUUCGUUAACCUUUUGGAAAAUACUUGUGACAAUUCACAAUCAAAUAUUGAGCAUGGAAGAGGCAAAAAAUUGUCUGAGUGACCUGAAGAGCAUGUCUGAGUGAUGGUUUUAAAACCAUGGACACCGAUAUAGUGACCGAUAACUGCAAUUGUUCCACAAGAUCAGGAGCUCGACCCAAAGGCAGAAAUGGGAUGGAGGAUGUUGAUGUUGGACGUGGUCAAUGAAGACAACAGUCUGCAGGAGUUGGCCCUCUAGAUUGGACAAGGCUCUGGAAAUACAUAGAGAGUCUUUGGCAAAAUGAUGUGCGAGGAUUGAGCUUGCUGGAUAGAGAUAGAGAGAAACUGCCAUGCUAUUCUUGGGAUUUCAUCGAAUCUUGGAAAAAGGGUGCCCUCAUGUAAGACGGCGCCCGGAAACAUUUGAGUGACGUUUGACUGAGCAGCUGGAGAAAUGUCGAGCACUACAAGGUUUCCAGUAAGUGGCCAAGCAUGGGACAUUCCAGGCACAAGAUAAGUACGCCCUCACCGAUGACAGACAGACCAAGCUUCCAAAUGUCACAUUGCAAGAGUAGCCCAGGUUUCUGAAUUAUAUAUAUAAUUAAGAGCGGGGGAAGGGGGGGGGGGUAGUUUAUUUAAAAAAAUCACAUUUUAAUGUGUGCAUGGUUUUAGUUUGCAUUUUGUAGUAUUUAGUGAAAUGUAGAGGCUAUCUCCCUUAAAUGCAAUUGUUUAGACCAAUAUUUAUGGGUGAUAUUUAAAACAGGGUUGGCCUAUAAAGUGGGAAAUACUAGAAGUAAAUACAAAUACUGCCUCAAUAAUUUGGAAAUGCAGGGAAAUAGUAAGAAAGUUUCUUCUUGAAUAUUUUCCUUGUAUCGUUGAGGUGUUUCUCAAGCAUGUUCUAGCAUUUUCCUAUACCACCCUUACCAUCCUAGUGCUUCCCAGCAUUUUUUCCCCCCAGUAUUUCCCUCCUGGUUGGGACUUAAUUUUCCCAGGAAAUUGCCAACCCUAUGAUUGUAAGUCCUGGGUCCCGUAACACAAACGUUAGCAAUUAAUCGUACGCUUGAUUUUCACGAUGAAUUGUACAUUGCAGUCAAUGCUAAACUUUGUAUUGCAGGCCCAGGUCUAACUCUAUACUAAACCAUCAUUGAAAGAGGCGGAUUAGUGUGAUUAGAGUCACACUUAAAUAUUGAUUUAAAAAAAGAAAGAUAAUAUUCCAAAGAAUUCAUUGAAAUCUAAUUCAUUUUUUAGUUCUCAGACAACACAACCUAUAGACUCAGGGGACCUACAUGUAUUGCAACCCUAAUUUUUGUUACACAAUUCCUAAGUGUGCUUCUGUUUGAUUGGUAAGAAAUCAAGUUAUCAUUGGUAUUUAUUUUUUUUUGUUAAAAGCUUGCUCUUUUGAAAAGAGGGAGAUGAAAACAAAGGCCAUGACCAGAAACUAAACGGUUAGAUGAGAUCAUGAGAUUGCCAAAAAGGAGAUUUGUCUUCAUUGUUUUUUAAACCACUACUGAUAUGAAGGUUUAGAAGCCCAGUAGUCAACCGGUAGACAAGCGAUUGGAACCUUGCAAAUGCAUCAUCUCAAGCAUGCUCUUGCGAUAGCGACUAGCCAAUGUACUGUAAUUUUUGUUAAUUGUCACGUAUAGUAACAAAACUUGCCCAACAUUGGCUAGUCCGAAGCAUGAGUAUUAUCGUACUUGAUCACCAUUGGCUGGUUUAAAUUCUGAUACGCCCUACAGAGGGCAACUCCUAUUUGAAUAUUCAUGAUUUUAUGCCACAUACAGAACAAAGCAUUAUGUCAGCCACAUGGUCAAGCAAAAGUGUACCAUGCAUUCAGCUAUAAUGCGGAGCCCCCUCCCCAUUAACGUAAUGACAAUGGCUCGAGACGAGUCUCCAAAUGUCAACAACAUACACGCUCGUCUUCUUUCUAACACACCAUAACACUUGUAUCUCUCUGACUGGUCUGUAAUUCCAUAAACGGGGCGUUUGAGACAUUUUAAAUAAUUUUGAUCACUUGAAACCUUCUAAAAAAAAAUUUGAAAAUUAAUCUGAAGACUAACAAUUUCAGUUCACACAAUCCACUGCAUAAAAUGUAAUGUCAGAAAAAAGGAAUAUAUUAUGCAGUACCCAUUAUUAGACCUUUACACAAUGAAAAAAAAAUCAUGUUUUAAAAUGCAUUAACUUAUAUGAAUAUAUAUGAAACAAAAUGAAAUUAAAAGUGCAUGUGUAUAUAAUGAAAUGAGACUGAAUAAAAAAAACGGAGGACAGAAAAACCGAAUUGUCAAAGUUAAAAUACCGGUAUAUAUUACAUGGUUAUUUUAAAAAGCAUGUUCAUUUUUUGCAUAAAUUACUAGAAAAGAGCACUUUCUUGAUAGUUUCAUUUUUUUAGCUGCUCAAAGUUUCAUACAUGUAAAAUGAUGAGGAAGUUUGUUUUCUAGCAUGAUUGUGCUUCUUUGAUGUUGGUCAUACAGUCAUGGCCUAUCUUUGGUUAGACACCGGGUAAAUUCAAAGUGUCAGUACAGUAUUUGCAAUUAUUCACAAGAAAAAUUGUUUUGGAGUGAAUUUGGUACUGGUGCUUCAGCCUCGAUUAUACACACAGAACAUUGACAAACUGUUCUGCAUACCUUUUGAUUAAUUAUUAAGGAUUUCAAACACUCUAUCCAGUGGCAGACACUUUCCUUAAAUAGCCACCUGGAAGAUUAGAAGUAUGGUUCCAUUUAAGGU